UCUAAUACCGGAUAAUACUCCUGCCUGCAUGGGUGGGGGUUAAAAGCUCCGGCGGUGAAGGAUGAGCCCGCGGCCUAUCAGCUUGUUGGUGGGGUAAUGGCCCACCAAGGCGACGACGGGUAGCCGGCCUGAGAGGGCGACCGGCCACACUGGGACUGAGACACGGCCCAGACUCCUACGGGAGGCAGCAGUGGGGAAUAUUGCACAAUGGGCGAAAGCCUGAUGCAGCGACGCCGCGUGAGGGAUGACGGCCUUCGGGUUGUAAACCUCUUUCAGCAGGGAAGAAGCGAAAGUGACGGUACCUGCAGAAGAAGCGCCGGCUAACUACGUG
rnacentral:rRNA from 1 species